rnacentral:lncRNA from 1 species
GAUAUUAUCCAAGGGUAACUCCGAUCUCUAUAUAUUAAAUUCUGCUCUUUUAACUUGGUAAUAGAUAAUUAAUAAUGAUCGUUUUAUUGCUAGGGUUUGGGCUGGGUUCGUGCAGAAACACCGUCCAGAGUUGAAUGCAGCACUUUCAAAGCCCAUCUUACUUCAGUGGGUUCUACGGCAGACACCGGGCAACAAUUUGUGUGGCUACUAUGUGUGCGAGUUUAUGACGGUCUAUGCCAAAAGAACUAAUCUUGAACACCUAAAAGUAUGUAACAUGUAUAUAUAAUAAGUUUAUUUUAUUUAUUUGUUGCUAUUUAAUAAAUCCUAUUCAUACCUCUAACUUUUUUCUUUAAUGUCUAUUAAAGGAGAUGUGGCUGAAGGAGCAGGUGUUGGAUGCGGUGCGCCUAAAAGGAAUUCAGGAGACAAUCGUAGGAUUUCUUAACGACCAAGUCCUGGAUCCCGGCGGCGAGUGCUACUUCAACCCUCAGGAGCAGAUGAAACCAAAUAACGAUGAUCAUUUGUAUGAUGCUUGAGUGGCGGAGAUAAAUUGUGUUAUAAAUACUUUGUCCGUGAAGCAUAUGUGUAAAUAUUAUAUUAUGGACCUAUAGAUACAUAUUAUUUAUAUAUAUAGUGUUUUAUAGUAUAUUUAUAUGUAAUGUUUUAAAUUAUAUAAAUUAUAGGUGCGCGUUCCAUAAACUACCAGCAAACAAUACGCAUUCGAAAAUAACAAUAACAUAAUUAUAAACCCUAAAUGGAAAACCAAAUGAAAAGAAAAAGAAAAAAGAAAAAAGUCUUUGGUCCCGGUUGAUAGCAACAACGGGGACUAAAAGUGGAGGCCAGGUGGCACACCCUGGCGCACCUUUUAGUCCUGGUUGCUGUUAUCAACCGGAACUAAAGGUGGGACAUUUAGUCCCGAAACCUUAGCCCCGGUUCCGUAGCCGGGACUAAAGUCCCUUACGGCCCGGGGCUAAAGCCCUUCCCUAUACUAGUGUUAACGGGCAUGUUUUGUAGAUAAUUGAAAUCAACCGCACCAAACUCGUCUAGUGGCAGGUUCAAAUCAAACUCUAUCAAAAAAAGAAGAAUGAAAAUGAGAAUUACCACAUGUUGUUGCUUUGAAUAUCAAAAAAAAAAGAACAAACAAACUGAGUACAUGGCUGUUGUGAUUUGACGUUGUUCAAAGUGGAAAGAACGAACUGAGAAAAAAAAAUACUUUGCAUCCGGUUGCUGUGUUUAUCAUAAAAGGAACAUUACCGUUGUUGUCAUCCUCCAAUGUUGGCUCACUGAGAUCCAAGGGAAGGUUGUCGUUGUCAUCUUCUUCUAUGUUAAAUGGAAGAAGCACAGAACAAGCUAAGCCCAUGUCGUACCUGAACACCAGAGGCGUUUAAGCAAGCAUAUAGGGUAGGGAGUAGUACAUGCACAAGGUCACGUGUCGAACAUUUUUUUUUUUAUUCUCAACCUGGCCCUCAUGGCCUUUCAUUAUAAGACGCAAGCUCACCGAAAUCGCGAGCUACGUGAGUGCAUACAAAAUCUGGGAGGGGGUCGUUCCAAACAUUGGAUUGACCCGGGUCCCAACUCAAAGCUAACUUAGCAAUCUCGUGUGCAGACGAGUUACCAGAACGUGGAAUUGCAAUAACCUUAUUACAAACGAAACGGUCUUGGAGAAGCUCCCUAAUGCUCCGGAACAAAACACCACCAGGUGCCAGGUCUCUUCUUUGGGACAUAAUUGCAUCCUGCAAUUGGCUGCAAUCUGUUUCCAGUUCAAUUCUUGAUAUGCCGACGGCCUCGACCGAUUCCAGCGCAAACAAGCAAGCCAUUGCUUCUGCUGACAGAGCAUCACGUACUGGUUUGACAUUUGCAGCUCCUGCUAGUACUGCUUCUCCCAAAUGGUCGCGAACAACAAAGCCACAAGUCCCCAUCCCAUCCGUCUUUUUGAACCCUGCAUCAAAAUUGAUCUUCAGGAAAUUCUCAUCAGGAGGUUUCCACAAACGCCGAGGAGCAGGUAGAUGUGUUGGUUUAUUCCCAUCAUCAUAGAUAUCUCUGAACAUCUGGCUCACUGCGCAGACCACAUCCAUGCUCGAGGGGGUCGGUUCACCAGCGUUGGCUUUAUUCCUGACAUCCCACCAUUUAUACAGAAAUAUGCAAACGCGUAGGCACUGAUCCUUCUUCAGAUUCAGGAUAGCACGGACGAACUCCUUUGACGUAGGAGCGUUUAGCAGUAAGCAGCGGGUAUCUUCUAGCUGCAAUUCCCUCCAACACUGCCGGACAUAUUUGCAUUUCAAGAAGCAGUGCCCUCCAUCUUCAUCCAUGCGCCAACAGACCGGGCAUCUGGUAUCUAGAUCAAUGUGGCGUCUCUUGAUGCACAGCUUGAGGGCCAGGCUAUUAUGUGCAACCCGCCAGAUAAACUGCUUGAUCUUCGGCCAACAGUUUAGGCGCCAUAGCCUCCUCCAUAAAUUAUCUUUAGAAUCACCUGCACCCUGUGCCGAUGUUUCUCCUUGCUGUGUUUUGCUACUUCGCUCUGCUGCAUCUGCGAGGACAUGAUAAGCUGAUUUCACUGAAAAGCACCCUUUUUCAUCGAAGUGCCAGGCAAUAUGAUCCUCGUUGUGUGGUCUGAUAGGUAUAGCAAGUAUAUUAGCAACAUCUUCUUCCCAGAACAGAUCACGGACCAGCUGAUCAUCCCAAGAACCUGUUACUGGAUCUAUCAAUUCUGCAACUCUAGUCAGCAGAGUGGCUCCCCUAGGUGUUCUUGGUCUUCGAGUGACUCCUACAGGGAUCCAUGGGUCAUCCCAAAUUCGGAUCUGUGAGCCGUCUCCAACUCGCCAUAUGAUUCCAUUUUCCAACGCUUUCAGACCACGCAGCAGGCUACGCCAAGAAUAGGAUAUCCCCGGACCUUCCCUUGCUCCGACCAGAUCACCAUACGGCCGGUACCUUGCUUUCAACAGUCUUGCACACAGAGAGUCUGGGAGCUGAAUUAAUCGCCAUGCCUGCCUUGCCAACAUUGCUAGAUUGAAUAGAUGUAGAUCCCGAUAUCCUAAGCCCCCUUUCUCCUUUCUGCUUGACAUCUUCGGCCAUGCCACCCAAUGUAUUUUCCUCUCCUUAUCUUGUUGAGACCACCAAUAUCGACAUAUCAUUCUGCUAAUCUCAUCACAAAGAUUCUUGGUAAGGUCAAAACAAGACAUAGCAUAGGUAGGGAUGGCUUGAGCAAUGGCUUUGAUCAACGUGUCCUUCCCUGCGCUGGAUAACAAUUUCAUCUUCCAGCCCUGGAUGCGCUUCCAUACCCUAUCUUUCAGGUAAUUGAACAUUUGAGUCUUAGACCGGCCCAUAUAAACUGGUAAGCCAAGGUAUCUCUCACUCUUUGCCUCCUGUGAAAUUCCCAGGGAAUUGAGGAACUCAUUCCUCAAAGUCUCACCACAGUUCUUGCUGAAGCAUACAGAGGAUUUCUCCUUGUUAAUGGUCUGCCCCGAGCAUGUCUCAUACAGUUGUAGAACAUUCUGCAGAUGAAUUGCAUUCUCUUGGUUUACCUUCAUGAGAAGUAGAGAAUCAUAUGCAAACAGAAGAUGAGUGAUACUCGGAGCUCCAGCACAUAUAGACAGCCCUUGCAGUUUGCCUUCUCCUUCUGCAGCAUUCAGCAGAGACGAAAAGCCUUCGGCGCAAAUCAAGAAUAGAUAUGGGGAUAGGGGGUCCCCUUGCCUUAGGCCUCUGGAUGGUAUAAUUUCAUCCGUUAACUCCCCAUUCACUUUGAUCUUGUAAGAAACGGUGGUGACGCACUCCAUGAUAAGCUGUACCCAACGCUCAUCAAAGCCGAGUUGCAGCAUCAUUCUUUUUAGGAAAUCCCACUCAAUCCUAUCAUAUGCUUUGCUCAUGUCGAGUUUUAUGGCUGCAUAGCUAUCCGAUCCACUCCUCUUAUUCUGUAAAUAAUGGGUUAACUCAUAGGCUAUUAAAAUAUUAUCUGUGAUCAGUCUUUCAGGAACAAAGGCACUUUGGUUUUCUGAAAUAACAUCACAUCACGAAGGAUAAUUUUCAACCGAUUAGACAGUACCUUCAAAGCCACUUUAUAUAUCACAAGUCGAACAUUUAAACAUGCACAAGUAGUCCCAGCGUCAGACCUUUGGAAGCAGUGAACGAGAGCGCGCACUGAAACCAAACCAAAAAACUGACGAAACGCGAGCGCCUCCACAUGGUGCCAAACGUGCCAAUGUCAAAAAUCCAUGUGCAUGUGCACACACGCGCCAACGUAAAAACCGAAAAACGAGGGCCUGCGGCUCAGCGCGCGACACGCCCACGCCCAGCCGAAACGCGAGGCCGGCCAUGCAGUAAACAGUGCCAUGUAAAAUGCAAAACCAAAACCCGGCAAAAAUAUGUGGCCUGUGGCCUCUAGAAAUUAAACCCUAUUCGCCACCUAAGGCUAGUCUCAAUGCAUGUUUCAUGAGGGUGUCAUACACAUUAAAUAGAGUUCCACAUAAGCAAAAUUAAUGACUUAGCAGGGUCAUUAAAUGAAGUAGUUUCAUCAUAUGAGAGAGGAGUUUUAUCCCCCAUGAAAUUCAUAUGGCUCGGUUACCUAGUUCAUAGUCUUGAUAACUGUAGUAUGAAACUAUACAUUGAGACUGACCUAAUACCACAAUGCACUAACCGUUUAAACAGAGUAGUUUUUGGCCUUAUUUAGUUCACCCUUAAAUCCAAAAUUUUUUUAAGAUUUUUCAUCACACUAAAUCUUACGGCUUAUGAAUAAAACAUUAAAUAUAGAUAAAAAAUAACCAAUUGUAUAGUUUGCCUAUAAUUUGUGAGACAAAUUUUUUAAGCUUAGUUAGUCCAUAGUUGGACAAUAAUUGCCAAAUAAAAACAAAAAUGCUACAGUAUCCAAAAAAUUUUCACCACCUUAACUAAACAAGGCCUUCUUGUAUGGAAUCCACCUGCUACCCUAUUUAAUAGGGAUGGAUAGAAAAAAAUAACCCUUAGUUAAUGACUUCUUGAUAAGCACAAUAAUAUCCUAAACGACUUUUAAGUCAUAUAUAGAGGAAGUACUCGUCUAUCUCAAAUUAUAAGACGUUUGACUUUUUUAUCUCAAGUUUGACCACUCGUCUUAUUCAAAAAAAAAUUAUGCAAAAAAAGUUAAAUUUAAGUCAUUCUUGAAGAACUUUUAUUAAUAAACCAAGUCAUGAUAAAAAAAAGUAAUAUUUUAUAUAAAUUUUUGAAUAAGACAAGUGAUCAAACUUGAUGUUGAAAAAAUCAAACGUCUUUAUAAUUUGAGAUGAAUUGAGUACUCCCUCUAUACCCAUAAUUCUUGAUGUUUGGAACAUGAUUAUUGUAACCAAGGAGUGAUUAAUUAGGGGUUAGUUUUCCAUAUCCGCCCCUAAUAAAUAUGGUUGUGGAUGCUCUUUGUACGAGAAAGUAAUCCAGCUCAACUGGCAGUACCUAGAGGUUAGAGUGUUGCAUCUCAGAUUCGAUCCCUAACAACCACUCAUGUGCCCAGGACGUCAAGUUUCAUGAAAUCACUGAAGUUGCUUAAGACGUCAAGUAAAACGAGUACGAAGGGAGUAUUAGUUUUAUAAUUUUUUAAUUCUUAUGCCUAAGCUCGCUGUGAGUUUUAAAGCUUACUUUUACUUUCUUCUCUUUUUUUACUUAGGCCUUGUUUAGAUCCAAAAAGUUUUUGGAAUUUGAUAGUUUGGCAUUUUCGUUUUUAUCUGACAAACAUUGUCUAAUCAUAGAGUAACUAGGUUUAAAAGAUUCGUCUCGCGAUUUACAGAUAAACUGUACAAUUAAUUUUUGUUUUCAUCUAUAUUUAAUGCUCCAUGUAUGUAACGCAAAAUCUGACGUGACAUGAAAUCUUAAAAAGUUUUUAGUUUUUGUGAAAACUAAACAAGGCCUUAGCAUUUAUACAUUUAGGCCUUGUUUAGUUCUAAAAUUUUUUGGAAAAUCGACACUGUAGCAUUUUCAUUUGUAUUUGAUAAAUAUUGUUCAAUCAUGGACUAACUAGGCUUAAAAGAUUCGUCUCGUCAAUUCUGACCAAACUGCGCAAUUAGUUUUUAUUUUUGUCUACAUUUAAUACUUCAUGCAUGUGUCUAAAGAUUCGAUGUGACGGAGAAUUUGAAAAAUUUUGCAAAAUUUUUUAGGAACUAAACAAGGCCUUAUACCUCCACGGUCCACACGGACGAUAAGGAUGCCUUGAAACCACGCAUAUGCUAACCUUAGCAGCCGGGGUACGGGAACAUGGUCACGUUCCCCGUUCCGGGAACUUCGUCCCGAAACGUGAAACGAGAACAUUAUGGAACAUCGUUCCCAAAUGCGGUGGAACACGAAUCAUAUAUAGAAGCAAUCAUAGGAACGUCAGUCCCAAGCGACUAUGGAACUUCGUGGUGUGUGUGCAUACUGCGUCGUGCCCGUCCGUGAGCGGUCGGCGAAAAAUCUAGAUGGUGAUUGACUCAUUGGCCUAGACCUGCAAUGAGCCUUAAAGUUGGAGUUGGACAGCCCUAAAUGAAACAAAAAUACAAUAGUAAAUUAUAUCACGCUAGGAAUCGAAUUCAUUUGGUUCAAAACAACACGUAAAACUACCUGAGUCAGCCACUACGUUCCAAACACGUUCCUUUAGAAAGUGGAACGCGUUCCGCAACUUAAAAGGAACGAGACAAAGCUAUAUACCCCCUACGUUCCAUAGUUUAUGAUAAUGUCGUACCGCGUACCACGUUCCCGUACCACGUACCCUAUGUUCCGGGAACUUGGCUGCUAAGAUGCUAACCGGUGUUUGAUUAGGGUUGUUAAAGUUUAAUGGGUAUGGUAGCAUUUUCUUUCUAUUUGACAAUUAGUGUCUAAUUAUGGACUAAUUAGUCUUAAAAGAUUCGUCUCGCAAAUUAUUCUCUAGCUUUGUUUUUAAUUUCAUAAAUAGUCUAUAUUUAAUACUAUAUGCAUAUAUCCAAAUAUUCGAUGUGACGAGCUAUAUAAACUUUAAUGCUAGCAACCAAACAGGACCAGCCGGGGAUCGCCAGGUGGCUGCGCACCUGCUUCCCUCUACGCUGGUUGGGAGGAGCCCCGCGCGACCCGCCUCGCGUAGCACCGCGCCGCGCCCCCGUCUCCAUCCUCCACGCGUUCGCUGCGGACAGCCCGAACGACGACGACCAACCGCGCUCGCGCGCUCUGCCCCGACCACACGACAACGUGCUGAGCGUCUGGCCGCCUUCACUGCCUCGCCUCGUCCCAAGGGUGCCCAAGCCAUCGUGACCUGCGUGCGCAAGUGGAAGCCUCAAGCGCGGCCUAGAAGCGAGGCCUUGUUUAGUUCCUAAAAAAUUUCAAGAUUUUCCGUCAAAUCGAAUCUUGCGGCAUAUGUAUAAGGUAUUAAAUUUAGACGAAAAUAAAAACUAAUUACACAGUUUACAUGUAAAUCGCGAGAUGAAUCUUUUGACCCUAAUUAGUUUAUAAUUGGAUAAUAUUUACUACAAACAAACGAAAGUGCUACAGUACCUAAAAUCCCAACAUUUUGCCAACUAAACAAGACCUAUGCUGCAAUAUCGAUUUCCCAAAAAAAUUUCGAACUAAACAAGGCCCAAGCCUCAAGCCGAGGUUCCUGAUGCAAAAAGCAGCAAACAUUUCGUUGGGCCUCUGUUCGGCUGGGCCACUUCUAGCACGUGGACCGUGCCCGGUUGGGCUGCACGCUGGGCCUUUUGAACUGAAUGCCCUUUUUCUUUUUUCGGUUGUCUAUUCUUUUUCCAGGAAUGCUGCAAUUUCGUCAAUUCUAUAUAAAUAAAUCUAUGCUCCAAAAAUUGUGCAGCAAAUUUUAGUAGAACCUUGUUGAGUAUAUAUACACGCAGUGAAAGUGUUUAAUCAUGCUGUGGCUAAUAAAUAGUUGCUGUAACCAUUAAUCUAUGAUGGCCGUGGUAUAUUUUUUUAUAGGAAGUUCUUGUCCUCAAUAAAUCACGGAAAACUACAGUAUGUUGGUUAUGUUAGAGCUCUAGUGUUCCUGCAAAGUUUCAAUAGUUGUGGAGCUUCUGUUUAGCGGUUACGUGCAGAUCUAUGUUUUGGUUGUUUUAUUUUUAAAUACCUCUGUUUAAAUCCAAACUGUGUAGAAGUUCUAGAGUAGCUUUAAUACACCACUAGUUGCUUAUAUACAUAAAAAGUUUCACAGCUGUGUUGAGUUUGUAUGUGGUAUGCAGUUAUUCCUUAUUAUAUGAUGUUGCAUUUGUUGUGGUAAUAUAGUUUAUCCAAAAUUCGUGAUUUUUAUACAGUAGCCUUAUUUUUAAGUGUAAUCAGGUUGUGUAAAAUUAUGAUGUUCAGAAAACAUAUCAGUAAAGAUUAAAGAGUUAUAGUGUUAUCUUGUUCGCAUAUGGUAGUGUUUAACUUGUUUUUUGUAAUGCUUUGUUGUGUUGGUUAAAUUGUUGCCUAUUGCACCCUCAUCCAUACAUAUAGAAACAAAAGUUGGUAAGACCGUGCCAACCCAAGAGCCGAGAUAUGAAGAAGUCGACGAGGAGUAUGUGGAAGAGAUUCCCAAAGACCCUAAUGACUUUGUAAUUAACCUCGAGACUGCCCAAGGCAAGCCCCGGUGCAUAGCCUCUAUUUUACAAGUUCACUAUUGCGUUAUUGCAUUAGGUUACAUGAGUUGGAUGAAACCCACAUACAUAUAUAUCUAUCUUAUGAGUCCUAGUAAUAGGAUCCAUGUAGCUAGUAUGCUUAGGACUCUUGGUAAACAUGGGUGAACCUGCUAUCACUCAUAACAGGAUGCUACAAUAGGGUAAGGGCUUUGAUUGUACUAGUCCGUCUGUGUCGAUUAAGUACUGAACUGGAGGUAGUGCUUUGGUAAGUUUUAAUGUUCUGAAUGCAUGUCGCUCAUAUGGGGGUGGGAAACCUUGUACCUUUCUUACCUCUAAGGCCCUAAGGUUUUGAAACGAUAUGCUAGCCCCUCAGGUUAUAGGUGGAGGUGGAGAAUUGUAGCUUAACUCACAGCGAGCUACACUGUCCUUAAGAGCAUCUCCAACAAAUUGGCAAAUGCACUUGGCAAAUCUUGAUUUUUGGCAAAACCACAAAAUCCAUCAUCCAACAAGUUGGCAAAUAGACUUGGCAAAUUGCCAAGGUUGGCAAAAUCAGCCCCUCCCGGCGCAUAUUUGCGCGCACGCUUGGCAUCGUCGUUUUUUCGGGCGUCUCCGGUUGUCCCGCGCGCGGGAAAACGUCUAGCCCUUUCCGUUUUUCCCGCGGGCCUAGAAGGAAAGAGAUCGCGCCUCUUCCUAUUUCAUCGUGCCGCCUCUUCGUUUCCUCUCGCUCAGUCCGCGCAAGACCGCGCCAUCGCUGGAGUGCUCCUCGACCGCGCCGUCGGUCCUCUCUUCUACCGCGCUGUCGCCAAGAGGUAGAUCUCCCGUCGCCGAGAGAAGGAUGGACGACGUCCUCGGCAUUCCAGGUAUGUUCUUCGCCCUCUUUUCCUUUCCUUGUUUCAUUUGAUUCUAGAUCGGCUGCUGCGUAGAUAGGGGUAUUCGUAUGAGAUGGUACCGAUCUGCUGCUGCGUAGAUAGGGUAAAGGUAGAUAGGACCGAUCUGCUGCUGCGUACAUAAGAAUAUCGAUCUGCUGUGGCCGUCUUAAUUAGGGUAGAACGACAUUAUUCUUGUUGCUGCUGCUGGUAGUUUUCAUCUUGAUUUGCCCUUUAGGUUUUCAUGUUUUGCCCUAUCGAUGGUACUGCAUUUUCUAAUUGAGAUGCCACUGCCCUUUUGUACAGAUCAAAUGCAAGGGGAGGGAUUUUUGAGUGACAUACUUCUCCAUGGAGUUCCCAAUGAAGGUGUUCUUGCUGGCAUCAGUGACCUCAACAUUCCGAUGACUCAAGAAACUGAACAUCGGGACGAUGUGGAAGAGGUGCCAGCAACUCGCUGUACAAAAGGAUCCAAGAGGACCAAGAAUUUUGUGUUCCAGGAGGAUGAAGUCAUAUGCAACGGUUGGUUGAAGGUUAGCAAGGACCCCAUUCACGGUGCCAAUCAAACUCGUGCAUCCUUUUGGAAAAAAGUUCAUUCUUAUUUUGAGAAGAGCAAGGAAACUGCAGUUGUGAGGACACAAAGUUCAAUUAUGCAUAGGUGGUUAGCAAUUCAGUUAUCUGUGAACAAGUAUUGUGCAUGCAUGGAGGCGAUAGAACGAAGGAAUCAAAGUGGUUUGACUAUCCAAAACAAGGUAUUCAGAUUUGUAGUCAUUUUUAAUUUUGGUUUAUUUUACAUGAUGUGUACAUUGACAAAUUUAUUUUUUAGAUCAAUGAAGCUGGAAAGAUGUACUCGGCAUUGGACAAGGAGAAGAAGUCCUUUGUGCUUAUGCAUUGCUAUGAAAUAUUGAAGGCCGAGGACAAAUGGAAGUUGAAGAGGAUUGAGCUUGCCUUGUUGGAGAAAGAAGCAACGAAUAAAGAGAAGAAAUAGAAGCACCCCAAGUCGUCCAGGCCAAGGGAUGACGAAGCAAGCAUCACCGAAGUAGUAGAAGAAGAAGGUGCUGAACAAGCUCAACCAAGGAAGAGAUCAGACGGGAUCAAGAAGUCCAAACAAAUCUUAGGCAAGGUGGAGCUGCUGAACUUUGCAUGGACGCUAUAGAAAAAAUGUGGGCAAAAAAAGAGGCAUUGGACAAGGAAAAAGAGAUGGCAAAAGAGGAAAGGUUCAAGCAAUCUCUUGAGCUAGACAAGGCUGCAUUAGAGGUGGACAAGGAGAGAGCAUCAAAUGAAGCAAAAUUAGCUGAAGCCAAGUUGAUGAAAGAAGAAAAAGAAAUUAUGCAAGUGGACAAGAGCAACCUCGACGCGCUGCAGCUUGAGUACUAUGAAGUUAUGCAGAGGAAGAUCAUUGCUCGCCGUAUGGCUAAUUAGAUCAAGAUUGAAUUCAGUUUAUCAAAACCUUAGUUUAAUUCAGUUUGCUCAUUUAGUUUAUAUUUAGUUUAUUUUGUAAUGCAUUCAGUUAUCAGUACCAUGUAUCCGGCAUUUUUUCAGUUAUGAGAACCUUUUGUUUAAUUCAGUUUUGUGUUGGUUUUAGUCUUCAAUUCAGUUUAUUUUGUGUUGGUUUUGCAUUCAGUUAUCAGGACCAUGUGCCCGUUUUUUUAGAGAAUGGAACAGGUUAACUUAGACUCCAUAAUUCAGUAUUUGUAGCUCCAUAUCCAACUAUCCUUGCCAGACCCAAUGCAGAAGAAGCUACCUUUCUUUCCAUCCAGCCAAAAGAAACACUCGGGCACAGAUACCUCACCUAAACAGGAGCUUACCUUGCCUGGUGUCUGAGCCGAAGAAUCUUGCAGGAUUUUCACAAACACAUGGACUCCACGCACAGUUUUCCUAGUCCAACUUUUUUUUUUUUGACAAGUUGUGGGAUGUGAAAUAACAGAGAAUGCCAGCAACAGAAACACAGAAUGCGCAUGAAAUAACAGAGAUGACAUACACAUCAAUUAAAACAACUGAUCCAAUUUAAAAAACAGUGGUAAAUAUGAUCCGAAAAUAACAGAGAUGACAUCCGAAAAUAACAGUGGUACAGAUGUUCUGAAAAAUAAAGUACUAAUCAAAUUUUAUAGCUAUAUAAAUCGGGAUGAUGGUUCCAAAGAUGCUCAAUAAGGUCUUCUUUGAGUUGGACAUGUGUUUCGGAGUUUCUGAUCUUUUUGUGCGCCUCAAUGAAUUCUUCUAAUGUUUGAGUGGGCUGCCCACGUUCAAGUUCCACAUUGUCAUCACCGUCCUCAAAACGCUCGUCGGGAUCCACAUGCCCUUCAUCUUCAAUUAUCAUGUUGUGCAUGAUAAUACAAGCCUUCAUGAUCAAUGCUAGUGUCUCUAUGUCCCAAGGACGAGCCGGUCCACGAACAAUGGCAAACCUUGCUUGAAGAACACCAAACGCUCUCUCCACGGCCUUCCUCGCAGCUUCUUGUGCCUUUGCAAAAUAUUUGUUCUUGUUACCAAUUGGACAAGUGAUGGAACUGAUUAAUGUAGCCCAUGAGGGAUAUAUCCCAUCUGCAAGAUAAUAUCCCAUCGUAUAAUCAUGGCCAUUCACUGUAUAGUUAACCUUUGGAGCUCUACCCUCCGCCAAGUUUGCAAACAAAGGGGAACGGUGAAGAACGUUGAUGUCAUUGUGCGACCCAGGCAUCCAAAAAAGGCAUGCCAUAUCCAAAGAUCAUCCGAAGCAACGGCCUCCAAAAUGAUAGUGGGUUUGUCCACAUGCCCCUUGUACUGACCUUGUUUCUCAUAUGGACAGUUCUUCUAUGCCCAAUGCAUACAAUCGAUGCAUCCUAACAUUCCAGGAAAACCUUUCUUCUCACCCAUGGCAAGUAAGCGUUCUGUGUCUUUCUCAUUGGGGUACCUCAGAUAUUCAUCUUCAAAGAUAUCAACCACUGCUGCAACAAACUUUCGAAGGCUCUCUAGUGCGGUACUUUCGCCGAUGCGAAUGUACUCAUCCGUAGCAUCCGCUGGAAUCCCAUAAGUGAGCAUCCGCAUAGCGGCAGUGACCUUUUGGAAGCAACUCAGUCCACGUACACCGGCACCAUUUCUUUUUUGCACGAAAUAAUUGUCAUGCUCUUCAACGACCUUCAUUAUGCGUAGAAAAAGCUUUUUCGACAUCCUAAACCUAAAGGCAAAAAGUACAUAUCCGAUGUGAUAGCUAGGACAUAUUUGAGCAAAAAAAUAAGAAAGCACAUACUACAAACAAAUCUGAUGUGUAGAUGAAACUAUGUACCUUCGACGGAAAAUAUCUUCACCAUACGUUGGAUUAUCGGCCAAAUAAUCUUAGAACAUCCUUUUAUGGCCGCCUUCCCUAUCACGAUAAAUUACCCGAUGACCAGGGACAGAGCCUCCGGGCCUUCUCUUGCGGACGUUCAACAGAUUGCUGGAGAUUUGAGCAGCCGAGGAGAGGAGAAGGACGUCGUCAUCGGAUGAAGAAUCUUCUAGCUGCUGACUUCGAGCACGGGAUCUCUUCCUUGGCAUGGUGGCUGGUUGGAGGAAGAAGGGGCGCAGCAGAAGGAGGAAGAAGGGGCGCGCGGCUCUGGAUCGGAGCGACGGCAUGCGAAGCGACGCAAGAAGGCGGAGAGGCGGCCAGGUCGAUCGGCCGCGUGCCACCGACUGGGAUGGAACCGGUGGGUUUCUGAUGCCUGGAACCGGACCCACCAAAAAAAUUAAGACCUGUGGGCCUUUAGUUUUUAAUUUGCAAAGCCCAAAUGCCAACUUGUUGGAGUAUACCUUUUUGUUCACUUGGCAUUUGGGUUUUAGACUUGGCAAAUCUAGAAAUUUGCCAAGUGAAUUAUGCAAACUUGUUGGAGAUGCUCUAUGGAUGGGGCCCGCGAGCAUACUCCUAACGAGUUACACUGUCCCAAAUAGGAUGAGGCUCGUGAGCAUGCUAUUCUUUACCACUAGGUGGGGACAACAGCAACGGAAUCGUACAUGAGAAAAUAGAAAAUAAUAAGAGUAAUAUAGCUGCCAAAUAGGUCUAAAAAAUAGGAACCCUAAUUUAAAGGUUACUAGGUCUUUAAAAAUAGGAACCCAAAUUUGAGGUUACUACUGGAACUGAGCUGAAUAAACAAAACCAUCAGAAGUAGGAAAAAUCCUCAAAACCUAAAUAAAUAAAUAAAUAAAUAGAGACCCUAUUUUAGGUGCUAUCGUUGAAGUUGCUCAACUGUCACGCAUAAGCAACUUUGGCCCUCAUUUUCGAAACACCAAACACAAGGCGGCCAGGACUGGUUCACUUCACGAGUUGCUGCCUACUGCUGUAAAUUAUAAAUUACUAUGUAUACGUCACUUUAGUUUUGUCCUAAGUUUAACUUCUUUAAUUUCAACUAAAUCUAUAGAAAUGUAUACCAAUAUUUACACCACCAACUAGUUUCAUUCAAUCUAUCAUGCAAUAUAUGUUACACUUAUUUGGUAUUUUAGAUAUCAAUAUGUAUUUCUACAAACUCUUGCACUUAUUUGGUGUUUUAGACGUCCAUAUCUAUAUUUCAUAAACUUGAUCACAGUUUAAGAAUUUUGGCUUACAACAAAUUAAAAGUGAAUUGUGAUUUGGGAGGAAGUUCAUGAUAACCAGCAUGGAAGGCAAGGCAGCAACGCCACGCCAAAGGUAAAAAGUCCAGAUCAUUCUGCAUCAUUCUUCAAGCAACGAAUUCUGAAACCUACAAACAGUUGGUAUUGGUAGAGAAGGUAAAAAAACAACUUCGAGCCUACUGCAUAUACCAUUGUGUGGCGCCAACAUCAAGCCACGAACUGUUGUUGUCCACAAACAGUAGAGGCAAGUUCAUGUAUGCUGUACCCAACUGAGAAUGCUACAGAACAAAUAGCCAAAAUACUCUCAAUGACUCAUAGAAUGUGCUGGUUGAAUGCAUGCCGAGGGUCCCAUCACAUAUGACUGGUUUCAGCUCACAGGUUGCGGGGCUGGCUCUGCGGUGGCUGGUGCAGGUCUUUGUUGAAGGAGAGGCGAAAGCGCCUUCACAACUAUGCUCAUGUUGGGCCUGAACUCUGCUUCGUAUUGAACGCAUAGAGCUGCCACUGCAGCAAGCUGCAGGGUGUCCAAAGGAUUACAUCAAUAAAAGAUGGCGAAAUUAAUGUAAAACGUCAUUCACAGAGACGUGUAUGAGGGGGUAAAAUGUCAACCUUAGCGACUCCCUUUGGAGGAUAUUCUCCCUUCAACCUGGGAUCCACACAUUGCUUCACCUUGUCUUCACUUAACCUUGGAGUAGCCUGAAAGAAACAAACAAAUGUACAUAAGAAUGAAUACUUCCCUACCUUUUUCUGAUCUAGCUUCUGGGGUUUACUGACAAAAGGCCAUCACCAAUUCUAACGAUAAGGAUCAGUUCUCAUUUUUCAGUAAGCCUUGGUGCCUAGAUACUAAUUGGCUGAUGAAUAGAACCUGAGAGUGGAUUGAUUUGCCUAUGUUUCUACCUCAAGUAACAUCUAAACAACUAGGCUUUUUUUUUGAGAAACCAAGUCAGUAUGUCAAUAGCAGUAUCCAGUAACAACUAGGCUAUUUUUGCGAAACCAUGUCAGUAUGGCAAUAGCAGUAUUAUUGUACAACACAUAAGCAACCAUUCUCCAAUGUGAGUUAGCAAAAUAACUUACCCAUGUGACUAAACUUUGUUGUCCUCGAGGCAUUGUGUGAUCUACUGGUUUCCUUCCAGUCAAAAGUUCCAAAAGAACUACACCAAAGCUGUAGACAUCGCUUUUCUGUGUCAGCUGACCAGUCAUAGCAUAUCUGUACCAAGUAGCACCAAAUUAGAAAGGCAGAAAGAAAAUCAGGGCUUCAAAUAUUUCUACAGUUCAUGCAUAAAAAAAACUAUUUUCACCACAAUGUUACAACACAAAUUCUUGAUCUUGCUAGAUUUAUGUUAAUGUAACCCUAGCAUUAGUUGAUUAAUUAGUUAUGAUAUGAAGCAACAUUAAUAACAGAUCAACCAAUGUAACCAAUCCAAAAUAGCGAAUCAAGGGCAGAAACAAAUGUAAGCUUGGUAUUCAAAAGUUUCAAAAGUUCACGGAUAAAAAAUAUAUAUAUUUUUGCCACAAUGUUUCAACAUAAAUCAUUGAUCCUGCUAGAUUUGUUACUGUAAACCUAUCAUUAGUUGAUUAAUUAAUUAUGAUAUGAAGCAACACCAAUAACAGAUCAACCAAUGUAGUAAAUCCAAAAUAACUAAUCAAGGGCAGAAACAAAUGUAAGCCUGGUAUUCAAAAGUUCCAAAAGAAAUGUCAGCAUGUCUUGAUAGCAAAAGAAAAUGCAAGACAUGAACAAAGCAUGCAACCCACAUUAUCUUGGGCACACUACUGAAAUCAAGAAAACACCUUAACAAACAAAAAAACAAAAAAAAUCAAGAAAACAAAACAAAAGGGAGGCGAGCCCCUUGCACACUAGGUUAAAGUAUAAAUGGUACUCCCUCCAUCCCAAAUUGUAAGUGAUUCCAAGAAUCUUGGAGAGUCAAACUUUUGUAAAUUUGACCAAAUUUAUAUGAUAAAAUAAUAACUAUUAUGAUACCAACUAAAUAUCAUUAGAUUCUCCCUUAAUUAUAUUUUCAUAGUAUACUCACUUUACGUUACAAACCUUAGUAUUUCUCUCUAUAAUUUUGGUCAAACGUGAAAAUGCUUUGACUCUCCAAGAUUCUUGGAAUGACUUACAAUUUGGGAUGGAGGAGUACUGAUUUUUUGUCUCGGGCGCGUUUCUUCUUUUUUGGGGGGGGGGGGGGGGGUGGUGUUGUAUGGGUGCUUUUCACUUCUUAAUAGAAUGAUGCGCAGCUCUCCUGCAUUUUUCGAGGAAAAUUUUUUUUGCAAUGUGAAGUUCUGCAAAAGGCUUUUUCCAGUGUGGUGUUUCUUUCCUGAUUGCUGCUCUCCUUUACAGUUAGUUUUCUUUCUUAGUUUUCUUUCUUCCCUUGGUUUUCCAUUUGGCUUAGGUUGCUUCCCCUAUAUUUUUUAAUAUUCACAGCAGGUCCUGUCAGUUUACAUCCAAAAAAGUUCUGUGGGCUCCAAAAUGUGUACUAAAUCCAUAUAUAGUGGAAUUUGGUAAUACAUGGAAUACGAUAGCCAGUAGCACAUGGCAAAUUAUCGUUUUCAGGUGGCCUUCUAGGAUGUUAAAAUACACUAUCUUGACAUAUUAGUUUUGUUGUUCAACAUUCUUAAAAAUGAAAUAAUCAAGCACAUGUACUAGAGUUUUCUUUUAGUCAACACAGGUAGCAAUCUUUUGAAAUAUUGAAAAUAAAAGGGACUAAAGACCCAAAGAUUAUCAGAAGGUCAGGUUCAAUACUGAUGGUAUUUAAUAUUUGCUAUCAGUUCAAGAAAACCUACUGUGACUGCUGACUGUAAUAUAUUAUCAGUGCCGCACUGGGUAACCUUGUGUGAAAAAGAAUCCCAAUGGUGCCUCCACAGAAACAACUAUUGUACACAAAUGAAAAUCAGGUAAUGUGGUAGCUAUGUCACUAUAUGAUGGCAUGUCCACUUUACAAGCGGUUAAGUUAAUAUACAAUGGGAAAUCACCACCAAAACACGAGCUUAUAUGAAUAUAACAUAUAUGUAUAUAGCCAUUGUUUUCAUUAAUAUAUUGCAGCAGUAAGUGAUCUUUUCAAGAUAUGUAGUUACAAGUGAUUUAGAGUAUAAUUGUGCAAACUCGUCAUAAUAUUCUUCAUCAUCUACAUAGCCAAGGUCCAGCUUUUCUCAAUAGCCAUGCAUUUCAUUCUAUUCUAUUAACCAAAUGGCACAAGUAAAACGCUGGCCAACUGAUUCCAUACAGAUUCAGUGCCUCACCAACCCAUGUACUGUUGUCAUGCAGGGGUUCGUGCCUUGCAAGUACAUUGGUCUGGCUUUGUUAAUGGAACUAAUGAUUUCAAAAACAGUAAUGUUAUAAAUCAGCAUACUUGCUAGUGCAUGUGUUAGAAGUACUUGUACUUGUAUGUAUCCUCAUAAGAAAGUAGAAUUCAACAUCUUUGAUAUGUAAUACUAUGCAGAUAGAUGACGGCUAGGGAAAACAAAAGAUGGCCAUAGGUUUUUAUAUGUACUUAUGUGCAUAAACGACUGCAGGAAGAAAAGUGACCCAAAGGUUGACUAGCAUCAUAGUUACCAGGUAAAUUGACCUUGACUUGAUUCACAGUACAUGGUAUGGGUUCAAUUCUACAUUUAGGUGGAAAAAUUCUAUGGCAUCGGUGUGUUCCAUAUUCCUUGCAACCGUGGUACAGAUAAAUAAUUUUCUGUUCAACAUAAGGAUCAAGAGUAUUAGUUAGGGCAGCCAUUUGUCUUUCGACAGAGGCUGCCUGUACAUGGGUUUGCAAUAUGGUUUUCAUUUUCUUCAAAAAGAAAAUGUGCCUUCAGUUGUUGGCAUGCAUGUGUGCUUCCAAACUGCCACAUCUUUGAAGAAUGAUGUCAAUAAUAACCUUUUUUAUGAAAGCUUGAACCAUGAUAACUUAAGUAACAAAACUACCAGUUACAUAUUUCACAACAAAAAAAAAAGACAUAGCAAUCAACAAGAUAAGCAUGCUAAAAUAUAGUAGCUAAUAACAUGAGCACAAUUGCACAAACUACCAGUUAAAUAAUUAUAAAGAAUAUAAAGUCAUUAAGGUGGCAGUCAGGGCUUAACUAAACUGGCAUGAAAGCUACACUAAGUUCAAGGUAUGAACUAGGAAACCUACAGUUGCACUGAGAAAGCUGUAGUCAGAGUAACAUUGAUGAAGAUGAAUGUGCCACAAAGAAGAUAAUUAUUAUGAAUAAGGAUUAGACAAUUACUCAGGUGCGUGAUAUCCAAAAGUUCCCAAUACACGAGUUGAAUGGAGCCGAGCUGCCAUAUCUGGUGCUUGGUUCAAAAGAUUGAAGUCUGCAAUUUUUGCCUUGAAAUCCUCAAACAGCAGUACAUUGCUUGAUCUGAUGUCCCGAUGGAUGAUUGAAGGCUGAACCUUUUCAUGCAGAUAUUCUAUACCUUUUGCAGCCUCAAUAGCAAUUUUGACCCUUUGCAUCCAGUCAAGUACAGGUCCAGGCUGCGCGCCUUGAACGCCUUUUCUUCCUGUUGUAUAAAGGAAUAUGAUGUAGAUUCAUCACAGAUGAUAUGACAUCCUAUGUGUGCACAUGUGACAUGAAAAGGGUACUGGGUGCUUAAUGUCUUACCAUGUAAAACAUCAUGAAGCGAACCCAUGGUUGCAAAUUCAUAUGCAAGUAUACGAUAAUUCCCAUCCACACAGUAACCCAACAUCUCAACAAGAUUUUCAUGUUUUAGCUUUGAUGCCAGUGAGACCUGCAACACAGAGAACAUAUGUAUUUUCUCAUGCUUCCCCUUCUGACAUUAUCAACUACGUAUGAGGAAUAUGAACACAAAGUCAAGAAGCUUAAAGUGCUGUCAGUGCUCACCUGUUUCAGGAACUCAUCAUUAGGCUCAUUUUCAGAUGCAUCAAGCUUUUUAACUGCCGCUUGCCUCCCAUCAUCCAAAGUAGCAUGAUACACUCGUCCAUAAGAACCUUCACCAAUCAGAGCGCUUGAUCCAAAAUCAUCAGUCUUUUGUUUCAAAUCAUCCAACGACAAUUCAGGGACAUCAAUUGUAGGAGGGGAGAACUCUGGCUCAGGUUGACUAACAGGAGGUUUUGAAGACUUCUGCUUGGCUGAAAAGAUAAAAGUUAAAUCAGCAAAGACUCGAGAUAUAAAUGAUGUAGCUAAAAGACAUUUAGUAGUUAAUACAUACUCCCUCUGUUCCAAAUCAUAAGACGUUUUGGCUUUUCAAGAUACAUUGCUUUUACUAUGUAUCUAGACAUAGUGUAUAUCUAAGUGCAUAGCAAAAGAUAUGUAUCUAGAAAGCCAAAACAUAUUAUAAUUUGGAAUGGAGGGAGUAGGUCUCAAAUUAGUCAUUCAAACAAAUUCUAGCAAAAAACCUUGGAAACUUCUGUGCAAAGAGACACAGGCAGCGCACAUGCAAUAAGACAAAUAACACCUUGGCGGACAACACAAGGAAGAAUAAAAAUAAAAGACAUGUAUUAUGAGCAUUGUACAACUUGGGUCCCUUAAAAAGAAAAGGAGAUUGGUCAAUGCUAAGCAGAUAUAUGACAUAGUAAAAACUAGGUAUGGUGUUCCAAUACUUCUUUGUCUAGUGUCUACCUUCCAACACAAUGAAUUAGGUCCCCCAAAAAAGAACAGGGGCAAACCGUGCAACCCAAAGGUAACAAGUAGAAAUAGGGUUCCGACACAGUUUUUUCUGCAUAGACAGGUGUGUAUAUGUGAUAUGAGAAACACUAUAAUGAGAUUUUUGCAUCUGAUGACUCAUGUUCAAGCAUUUUAUAUAGAGAACAAUAUGAUGGCAUCUUUGUAUCUGCUAUCUACACAUUUGAUAUAGGAAACUAAGACGUAACCUUGUAUUUGCCAGUCUUAAAAUUAUUCUAAGAAACACUAUGGUACCAUUGAAUUUUCUCUGCGUUAAUUUGGUAUGAGAAACACUAUGAUGGUUGACUUCUAUAUCAAGUUACUGGCCACUAGUCCCCAAAGUCAUAUCUAAAAUUCUUGAUCUACCUCAUCUGUAUGUGUAUAUCCAGCAAUAAUCUGAUUCAUAUUAAAGAAUAUGAAAACUUUCUGUGAAUGGCCAGAAAACUGCUUCCAGCUAUUCUUCAGACUGAAUAAUACUGAAGUUUCCAAAUUCCCAUGAAGCGCCAAGAGAGAACAAUAGGUCGGUUCCUAUGUAACCUUCAACUGGCCCAAUCAUACCAGAAUUCACAAGACAAGCAUUGAAAGCAAGCAACGUACGGUCUAUCUUAUUGCUCUGAGUUUUGGCCUGUUCCAUGUCGUGGCCAUCUUCCUCGUCAUCAACAUGGCAGUUACAACAUAACCACUUCAUAUCGCCGUCCCGUCACCUGUCGCCACUUCAGUACAUGCAACAAAAACGCAAAACAGAGUUAGGCAUAAAUGGAAAGUUUCAGAAAUAAGGCAUUCCUCACACACAGCCACAGCAUGGCUACAUGCAACCAAUCCGUCAAUAGGUACCGGGCGUACAAUCCGUCCGUACUCAUCACACAAAUUUAGUAAGGCGGUUAGCAUGAAUGCUAGACCUAUUUGAUGUGCGAGCUAACAAAUCUGUUCACAUAAAUAGCAGGCCCAUAGCAGUCCAAGUCUGAGAAUAAUUUCAAGAAAGCCAGUACCAUUUUGUUCCUCUUUCAAGAGGGUUUGGGGUUAUCCAUUUCUGACAGUAUCCACUAUUCAGGUGAGUGAACGAGUGAUUGCAGCAAUGCGGGUCGCUUUCAGCCAGCCCUUUUCCAGAAGCGCGUGGAGAGCAGUACUAGUACAUCCUGGAACCGGAAGGAGAUUCCAAGAAAAAAAAAUCCCACUACAAGACCAAGUUCCUGCUAUUACCAGGGGCGACCUUUGGUGUUUCCACCAAUCCCAAAAGGAAACUAAUCAUUAUGCAUACUGCUACCAGUACUUGUCCGUCCACCACGCAUCAAUCAAGCGAAGCAAAUCCAUGGACCCGGAAGGGGAUUGGAUUGGAGGAGCGCUCGCGCAUCUGCCCCUAGCAAGGAAGAUUUGGAUUCGAGGGCACACAAGCGUAGAAAAGAGAUAAUCUCUAGAAACUGAACUGAUCUCAACUCCAAAAAGCAAGCAAGCAGUCAAUCCGAGGAAGAAAAUAGUUAGGGCUUCCUUACCAGCGACCGACGAUACCAGUCGAGGUCCCGUCGGGACGGACGGCCGGAGGGAGGGGCGGAGGGAUCCUCGCUUAGCGCCGGCACCUGCGACGGAGGCGGAGGACGAGCAGAAGGGAAAGACGCUGCGGACUGCGGUGCGUGCUGUCCCCAAGUGAAACUGGAAAGUCUGGGCGAGCCGUGCGGGGCGCGUGUCUCGGCGGAACACAGGGGAGUGAAUGGUGCGACCUGCGGGACCACACAGCAGACCCCUUCUCUGCUUUUUUUUUUUUUCUUUCUUUCAUUUUCUUUUCCCCAUUGGAUUUGGACUGGAUGGACUCACGGACGGCAAAAUAUUCAGUGCAAUCUAAAAGUUUAGAAAAGCAGCCAAUGCAGCCGUGGGAGAUUUAAAAUUUGGAAGAGUUUCAGGGUCUCCCGAAGCAGGACUCUUAUCUUAAAAUAUACCCACUUCGUACCCAUAAAAAAGUCGUUUAGGACAACGACACGUGGUGUAUACAGUAUAUAUACUUUUAUGAAAGUAUUUUUCAAGACAAAUCUAUUCAUAUGAUUUUCAUAUUUAUAAAUUCAACAACUUAAAAUUUAUUUAUAAUUUACAUUCUCAAUGUUUGAUACAAACCUUGUCCAAAACGACUUUCUUUAUGGAUAUGGAGGAAGUACAUUAGGAUUCCUCAACAACCUUAACUAUGCAGGUAGACUAACUUACAUUCAAUCUGUCCUUUCUGCUAUUCAUGUUUACUAUAUGGCCACCAUUCUCUUCUCCAAGUCCUUUAUUGCUGACCUGACUACAAUCAUUAAAAGAUUUUAGUGGGCAGGUAUUCAGGAUGAGAAUGCUACUAAUUCUAUCCAUUUCAGAUCUUGGGAGGACAUCUGCCAAUCACGAGACAAUGGAGGUCCUGGCAUAAGAGAUCUGCAUCUCGUUAACAAAAGCCUUAUUAUGCAUACGGCUUACAACAUAGCUAUCAACAAAAACCCUUUCCUAACGGCAGUGAUCAAAGCUAAAUAUUAUCCUAAUGCUUCUUUUGGGACGACUACUAAUACAGGCACCGGAUCUGCCUUUUGGUCUUCUAUCUUGUAGGUCAAAAAGAAAUUUUCUGACAAUGUACAGCUCCAACUCCACCAAGGCAACAACUCCAUCUGGUCCAUCCCUUGGUGCAACAUCUGGAAUUCCAUCCAUGACCACCUUCUACUCUCAGUCACUACACAACCCCUUCCUGACAUUAUCAGUGACCUUUGGUACCCCAACACCCACCAAUGGAACAUUCACCUCCUCAAUACUACUUUUGACAAUCAAACUGUCCAACAAAUCCUUGCUACUCCCACUGUUCACAAAGCAGCCAGUAACAUCCUCAGAUGGACUCCUGCUAAGGAUGGAAUAGGAUCCUCCAAAGCUAUUUACAAUUACCUCUCUGCUUCCAAUAACAUCCAGCUUCCUUCUACAGGUGCUAGAAGCAUCGCUCCUCAACCAAAAAGAAUUUUAUGCAGGGUUUGGAGGUCCAAAAGUAUCCCUCCCAUCAUUAAAAUUUUUACCUGGAGACUCAUUAGAAGAGCACUUCCACUACAGAAAGAGCCACCAGAUUCUCCACUACAGGUGACAACAGGUGUGACAAAUGCAAUAUGAUUGAAAAUGACUCCCACCUUUUUUCCAUUGCAUUUUGCCAGCACAGGUAUGGCUUACAACAAACCCAUCUAUCAACACAACCAAUUUUUCUUAGAAGGUCGAUGGUAUCCAAAAUACUCUGUCUCUCAUAAUCAAUGACAACACUAUGACUCUUUACUUUAGAAAACCCUUUACACCCUAUGGUAUAUUUGGAAAGCUAGGAACGACUAUCACUUUAACAGGAAGGAAUGGACGCCACAACAAGUGCAUCAAGCAGCCCAAGCCUACAUGACCCACUAUGAACACAACCCUCCCCAAUCAUCAGUCGGGUUUGCACACCCAUCAGGUAUGCAACCUUUUGUUUUGCAGGACACUAAUACCAACCAAGGAGCAAAUCCAUAUUACUGCCCCAACCCUGCUUCCCUUCAAGACUUAAGAUGCUAUGUUGAUGUUGCAGUAGUGCCUGACAGCUAUAACAUUAACACUAACAUUGCAGGUCUAGGCAUUUUUAUUCUUAAUUUUCAGGUCCAACCAACUCAAGCUAUCUACAUAAAGGCUCAACUGAACAAUUGCCACUCUGUUCUCAUGGAUGAAGCGGCUGCUCUUGCUCUAGGAGCGACAAUUGUUAAAGCACUACAACUACAUUCUUGCAACUUUCUUUCAGAUUCCCAACAACUGGUGCAUUUCCUUCACCAAAACCAUCAGGAUCACCCCCACAGUGGAGGAUCAAACCAUAUACAUAGUCAAAUUUCAACAUUGCAGGUACCUUGCAAGCACAACUCUUCAAGAUUAGUAGACAAGCAAAUAUAACUGCAGAUACUUCGGCAAAACAAGCCCAAAGUUCUACUCCCUCUACACAAGCCUUCCAUUGUAAUAGAUCUCAAUGUGGAUCUAUAUGCUCUCUUCUUCAGGCUCUACUCAAUGUAGACCUCACCAAUGUAACUAUCUUAACAACAGCUCGCUGUGGUUAAUAAAAUAUGGUUGUUGUAAAAAAAGUGUUUCGCGGAAUGUCUAAGGCCCUGUUUAGAUUAGAGAUGAAAAAUUUCUGUGUCACAUCGGAUAUGUCGGAAGGAUGUCGGGAGAGGUUUUUAGAAACAAAUAAAAAAAUAAAUUACAUAGCUCGUCUAGAAACGGCAAGAUAAAUCUAUUAAGCAUAAUUAAUUUGUCAUUAACACAUGUGGGUUACUGUAGCACUUAAGGCUAAUCAUGGACUAACUAGGGUUAAAAGAUUUCUCUUGCGUUUUCAACCAAACUGUGUAAUUAUUUAUUUUUUUUAUCUACAUUUAAUGUUCCAUACAUGUGUCCAAAGAUUCGAUGGGAUGGAUGAAAAUUUUUUGAGUGGGGAACUAAACAGGGCCUAAAUCUCUAUACUUAACUCAUAAUGUAUUAAAUUAUUGAGUAAAAAUGUAGCAGCGGAUCUUAAACUUGGCCGAAAGCGUCGUUUAGGUCUUUAAACUCAAAAACUUUUCAAAAUUUUCUAUCACAUCGAAUUGAGCACUAAAUAUAGAUAAAAAGAUAACUAAUUACAUAGUUUGCUUAUAAAUCGUGAGACGAAUCUUUUGAGUCUAGUGAGUUUAUGAUUGUACACUAAUUACCAAAUACAAACGAAAAUGCUACAGUAACGAAAUCAAAAUAUUUGUGGAUCUAAACAAGGCCUUAGUUAGAAGUGUCAUGUAGCUUAGAAACUAAGCAUGUGCUCACAAGCCCAAACAGGUCACACACAUCCUCUAGCGCCGAUGUUGAUCGCUUGUCUUGUAAGUCAUAUUUUUCUGUCAGUCAGUAGUGUUCUUCUCUAUUAAUAAAUUAGCGAACAAUAUUUUCAGCUAUGACUUUUCAGACAAGCGAACAAAAAAUUUUAAACUUGGCCGAAAACGUCAUUUAGGCUGGACUGUGGAGAAUGUACCGGCGUGCUGCACAAGCCCCUCGGCUCAUUAUUUCACCAAGUCAGGUAGCAAGGGUGAGAAGCAAGUUGAGCAAUGACGCCGGCAUAAUGUACUUCUCAGUGAAAGAACGGUAUUUUCCUCUUAUAAGAGAUUAGAAUUAGCGCCAGCAUAAAUAAAAUUUCAGCAAAACGAUCAAUUGUUGUAUGUGUGCACAUAAGACCGCAAUGGAGCCAAUAAUUUUCCUAAAAUUUUAAAUUUACUUUAAGUGUUGUGAUAAUUGGAGAUUGUUGGGGUUUACCUGAAUGUAUUAAUUUGAGAAUCCAAAUUAUUUAAUGUUUGUACCAUACUAUUUUACAAAAAUGAUUUAAAAGGAGACCCUACUUAUUAAAUUUGGAUAAUAUUUUAUAGAACGACAAUUUGGACAAUUUUUACUAAAUAGGAUAAUUUUCCCGAUUUAGGAAGAAUUUGUUCUAGGAUAAGAAAAGGUGUUCUACCAUCAGUAAAAGAUUGUUCUAGGUUUAGAAAUGUCAAGAAAACUUUUAAGAAAAGGAAAAAUGUUUUAGAUCAGGAGAAAAAUGCUAAGAAGAAUGUAAUGAAUGAAAAAGAAAAAUCAAUGGGAGGAAAACAAAACAAAAACAAAAGCUCAUUUAAUGGAGGAAAAAUGAAAAAAAUGUUUUGUAGUAGAGAAACAAAAUAAAAUAGAAGAAGGAUGGAACAAAAAGUUAUUCUAGUAGAACAACGAAAGAAUUAUAUAUCUAUCCUAAACAAAUAAUGCAAACUCGUGUUGACAAUAAUAUUGAACUGAAUGAAAUAUUUUCUCAUGGAACUAAAAAAUUGCACAUUGGCAACAAAUCAUGCGAGCUCAUAAAACAAGAAGGUUAUACUAUGUGACAAUCUUAACAAAAAAUAUUCAGUUGGAAAAAAUAAUAUUUUGGUCAAACAAACAUUUUUUAUAAGAGAACUAAAAUUGUACACCCAAAAAAAGCAUAACUCAUCGCACAAAACCCAAACUAUUUUCAUAUUGUACCAAUAUUAUUAAAUUCAAAAAAUAAAUAUUAAUGCAAAUAAGUUACAAUGUUGAAUAUACACAUACGGAACAUAAAGUAUGUUAUCUAGAACAAAAGUAUGCAUACAUGGAACAAUAAAAUUCAAAAUAGAACAAAUUAACAUAUACCAUGGGACUAAUAAAUAGGGAUAAAGUACCAUACAAUAUUAUAAAAAUAAACGAGAUAAUAUAAUUAUAUUGGUGCAAUGAUUUUCAAUGAAUUGAACAAAUUAUAAGUAUACAUGGAACAAAUAUAGCAGUGAAGAAAAAAUAUCCUAACCCCACUAAAAAUAUUGUUGGGCCAAAACAUAUAGAAUACGUGAGCUGAACUAACAACAUGGGCCAAAAUAGAACAACAAAAUCAGUGAUGGAAAAAAAUUUCAGCCCACAAAGAACCUCUUCUCCCAUUUCUUGUGGGCUCAUUCGAUCGGGUAUGCUUCCUCCUUCCUCUACGAAAUCCUAUGCAUUGGACUUCUUCGGUAGAUGGAAUCCUCCUCACUUCAUUGCAUUAUUUAGGGUACAUUUAGCUGCAGUAAGCAUGUUAAAUACAUGUACAUUUGACUCAUUUUGUUAUAUAUUUUUGUUUAAAUAAAAAUAUUUAAACCGCUUUAAUUUAGCCUACAAACUUCCAGCAUACAUCUCUGAGCUAGAGCUGUGGUAUAUGGGCCCUAAUUCUUUGUUUUACUAGCUUUUGUUACGGGCUUGGAAUUUAUAUUUGAUCUAAGGUUAGAGUCGUCUGUCACUGAGAUUAUUUUCUUUUUUCACACGUCCAAAUUCACACUAUUCUGAUGUUAUCCUUUUCCAUUAGAUUUCGUUUUUUUUUCUGUUUUUACGCUGUUCAAGCCACCGUUCAAAUUUUUUUUCUGAUUUAUAUUUUUCAUGCCAUUUCUGCCACCGUUUUUUUCUUGUCCCUUUCAUUUACUGAUGUUUCCAUUUUCUAAGGGUUUUUAUGGGCCUUUGAAUCCUUAACAUUCCUAGAAAACAAAGGUUCCCCAUUUCCAUUUCCCACGCCACCAUAUAUUGUAAUUCUUAUUAGAAAUAAAAAAUUGUUAUAAUGGAAUCUAAUUAAGUUGAUAGUCAAACAAAUGAAAAAAUAAGAACUAAGAUCUUGAGGAGUUUGUUGUCCAGUCAAAAUAAAUCUCCCACUGCACUUGUGCAAUCAUCAAUGAAAAGCGACUACGUGCAAAAAUGAGAAAGGUCUCCCAUUAUAAUCUUUAGUUUAGUGGAAAGACCAAUCCCAUGUGGACAAAUAAUUUCUUAACAUGACCAGAGAUUACAAUUAUGGAUUUUUAAUAUUUAAUUACCCCAACAUAUGUAUACCGUGAAAAAUUAAGUUAGUGUGAUAUAUUUAAGAGAAAAUAUGUCUGUGUUUUUCAAUUUGAUGGAUUUAAUAGGUUGCCAACAUUAAACUCACAAAACUAAUGCAUAUAUACACUAAUUAAUAAAUUAUAUCUAUUAAAUUUCAUAGGAAGGGAAUAGAUGUGUAGCAUUCAACGUUUAUGUUUUCUAUGAACGUUUUUCGACAACUUUUCUUUAUCAUCCGUUUGCAACACACAAAUAUGUUGUCAUUUCUCCUCUGUUCCCAAGUUUUCAAGAUAAAAGUGAGAUAGAAUAUCUGGUACAGAUGCUCUUUAACAAAUUAUACCUCUUGAAUUUCAUAAAAAGGAGAAAAAUAGAUAUGUACAUUCUCCAUUUCUGCUUUCUAUGAAUGUUUGAUAAUUUUUAUUUCAACUGUUGCAAGAUACGGACACACUUGCUAGUUAAAGACUUAGGUACCUUCGUCUGAGCUUAGGCCUUGUUCAGUUGAGAAAAAAUUUUGGUUUUGGCUACUGUAGCACUUUCGUUUGUUUGUGAUAAAUAUUGUCCAAUCAUGGACUAACUAGACUCAAAAGAUUCAGCUCGUAAAUUACAGGUAAAUUGUGUAAUCAGUAUUUGGUUUUGUCUACAUUUAAUACUCCAUGCAGGUGCCACAAGAUUCGAUGUGACGGAGAAUCUUAAAUUUUUUUGGAAACUAAACAAGGCCUAAUAUUUGUCGAAUCUGCCAGCCAUUUCGCAGUGUUUUUCUUCUCUCACAAUAAAUCAACAAUCAAUAUUUUCUGCCAAACGGACAUGCUCUUAUUGGCUUGUCCUCAGCAUGUACCAUAUUUUCUUUUUCUUUUGAAGGAUAACAUCGUAUAUUUAAAAUGAAGAGAUAUAAUAAUAAUAAUUACACAAAUGUCAACCGGCAACUGUAUCUGUCAUGCAUGGCUAUUGGUAUAUCCUCCCCACCAUGAUAACCCGAGCAGCAAAAGAUACUUUUGUGAUGGCUAUAUCCCACCAUGACGAGCAUGUCAUACCGCCGUGUUGUGGCAGUGGCACCGAGAACCCCGAAUCCAUCCCACGGAUAAGAUAUGCCAGGUGGCGUGAGGCCAGUGGCGGGAAUCGCCCGUGGCGCCCUGCCGCGCCGGCUGGGGAUAAUCCGGGGCAUGCAAUUUGAGGCCAUUACACCACCGGGCCUUUGGCUCGUACUACACCACCUCACCCUCACUCUCUCUUCCCCGGCCAUCCGCGCCAGACGAACUCAGCACCCGCGCGCAGCAAGGAGAGUCCACACGCCCAUGGCCAGCACCAACAUGGCGUCGGCCACCUCGCGGUUCAUGCUGGCCGCUGGCGUGCCCACCGCCGGCAGCGGCAGCGGCAGCAGCGGCCGCGUCAGCUUCGCGCCGGCGCCCAACCAGCUGGGCAGGAGGCUCGUGGUCCGGGCUGACCCGGAAGCUCCGGCUGAACCGGCGGAAGGGGAGGGCGCCGUGGCCACCAAGCCCAAGGCCGAGAAGCCGCCGCCGAUCGGGCCCAAGAGGGGCACCAAGGUUCAUAGCCACGCCGCCGAUUUUUGAUUUGAUUUGGUCUCUGAUACGAUUAUUCUUGCGUAUGCCAAUGAUCGAUCGGUUGCCACAUCCAGGUGAAGAUCCUGAGGAGGGAGUCCUACUGGUACAACGGGAUCGGCAACGUCGUCACCGUCGAUCAGGUUAACUACCAGCUCACUCUCCGCUAGCUAGAGCAUAUACACACAGCUAUAGCUGUAGUAUAUACUGAAAAGGAUUUAUUUGUUAAUUUGUUGGAACAUGGCAAUGCCACAUAUAGCUAGAGAAUCAUACUGUUAGGGUUAUCAUAUAUGUAUACAGGACCCCAACACUCGCUACCCGGUGGUGGUGCGGUUCAACAAGGUGAACUACGCCGGCGUGUCCACCAACAACUACGCCUUGGACGAGGUCCAGGAGGUGAAUGAACAAAAGUGAGGCCGGCUCAAGGGGCUCCCCGGCCCGCGCGCGCUAGCUAGCUCCCGUGUGAUGAUUUGUAGUUGUGAAAUGAGGCUGUGAAGCUGCAUGCUGUGCUAGCUAGCGUCACAAACAUCGAUCUUAUGUGUAAUAGCUUAAUCUCCAUAAUCAUCAUGUAAUUGCUUGCUUCAUUCACCGUGGACUCAAUAAUCUCUCUUGCUCUAAAAUUAUAUUGCUGUAUUCUUUUUUUUUGUUCUUGUGAUUUUGUAUGCAUGCACAUAAAUCUCUCUCUGGCACCAUAUAUAUUUGUGGCUCUGCUAAAAACUCACUUGUGCAGUCAUAUGCUAGCUAUUUAAUUAUAUAUACCGGAGUUCAUACAGCAUAUAUAGCAGAUCAAUUAUUUGCAACUGUAGCAAUAUGACAAACAGAUGGGGGAAAAGAUUUCUCAACCUUGGUACAACAUGGGGAACAGUUUAGUAUAUUAGAGGACAUAACAUGCAUAACAUGGGGAAUAGCUUUAACAGUUUAGUUACGAAUUGAACAAAAUCAGCAUCCCCAAAUAACUUCACAUGUCCAGUUCUAUAUAUAUAUAUAUAUCGUCUGAGUUUGUUUUCAAAUGUUGUCAAACAAUUAACAUACAUGGA